rnacentral:misc_RNA from 1 species
GCCACCAGGAUCAGCGCAGAACCGCGCCAGCCCGUGAAGCUGCGGACUUCAUAAUGGUCGA